GACGAACGCUGGCGGCGUGCUUAACACAUGCAAGUCGAACGGAAAGGCCCUGCUUUUGUGGGGUGCUCGAGUGGCGAACGGGUGAGUAACACGUGAGUAACCUGCCCUUGACUUUGGGAUAACUUCAGGAAACUGGGGCUAAUACCGGAUAGGAGCUCCUGCUGCAUGGUGGGGGUUGGAAAGUUUCGGCGGUUGGGGAUGGACUCGCGGCUUAUCAGCUUGUUGGUGGGGUAGUGGCUUACCAAGGCUUUGACGGGUAGCCGGCCUGAGAGGGUGACCGGACACAGUGGGACUGAGAUACGGCCCAGACUCCUACGGGAAGCAGCAGUGGGGAAUAUUGCACGAUGGGCGGAAGCCUGAUGCAGCAACGCCGCGUGCGGGAUGACGGCCUUCGGGUUGUAAACCGUUUUCGCCUGUGACGAAGCGUGAGUGACGGUAAUGGGUAAAGAAGCACCGGCUAACUACGUG
rnacentral:rRNA from 1 species